AUAUUUUAUAAGAGAGAGGUAGUAGAGCAUUUCUUAAAAAUAAAAUUCAAGAGUGAUCUGAAAAAAAAAGAAAGAGAGAAUGCUGAUAUGUGUAAUCAAAUUUUAUAAUAACUAUAAUUCGUUGUGGGUCUAAACAUAAAAAAGUGUACAUAACCAACUCAGGAGAAUUAAAAAUAGGUUAAAGGAUAAAAAGGGUGAAGGAACUCGGCAAAUAAAGGGGGACGACUGUAAACCAAAAACUUAUGAGACUGCGAAUCUAAAAGGGAGAAGUAUAGUCUCUGAACUCUGGCCAAUGCUGGAAGAUUUCCAGUCAAUGCCGGCUGUAACCAUAACGGUCUGAAAGUAGCAUAAUCCCUAGACAUAUAAUUGAUGUCCUGCAUGAAAGAGAAAACGAUUCCCCAACUGUCUUCAUCCUUUACCUGAUGACAAUGUAAUUUAAGUGAAGAUACUUAAACUAAUCAGUAAGAAGGUAAGACCCUAUGAAGCUUAAGUUAUAUUUUUAAUCCAGCAAAUAAUAAUUAAAGGUUAAAAAUAGCUUUAACUGGGAUGGUAACCUUUAAAGAAGUAACAAAGGUUAACAAAAGAAUCAAUAUUAAGAUGAAUUAAUAAAUUCAUAAUAAGAAAAGAUAAUUGAUUUUGACUGUAAUUUUUACUAAAAAAACAGGCCUUCAAAUGAGGGGGUUUUAAUGAACCGGUUUAUAAACCGUAAAAAGGAAAAAAGUUACUCUAGGGAUAACAGAGCAAUCCUCGGCUAGAGAUUUGAUCUAACUGGGGGAUUACUACCUCGAUGUCGACUCAUCUUCACCUACUAGUACAGAAGCUAGUAAGGGUUUGACUGUUCGUCAAUUAAAAAGGUACGUGAGUUGGGUUCAGAACGUAGCAAUACAGUUCGGUUCCUAUCUACUGAUUAAUAGAUCUUUAUUAUACUCAUUCCCAGUACGCAAGGACUAGAAUGAAUAAGUCUAUGGCUUAAGCUAAACUUAAAAAUAAUAAAAUCAUGAUUGAUUGAAAUAUAGAUAAUAAAGAUAAAAUUAAAG
rnacentral:rRNA from 1 species